UUGUUCUUGGUGGAUCUCUUUAGUUGCUUCUUCACCUGAGAUAUUGUCAAUAGCACCUUGGAGAAGGUUCUCAACUGUUCCUUUUUCUGUGCUAUUCUGUUUCUGAAUUGUCUCACUUGAAUCGACCUUUCAUUCCUUGUUUAACUCUUCGUUUUGUGCUUCCUUUGCUAGUAUCUUGUCUCCUGGAAUUUCUUCACCCUUCAUCUCAUUUUCUUGUUGGAUUGUUUUAUUUGCUUCUUCAACCAAGAUAUUGUCAACCACAGCUCGUUGAAGGAUCUCAAUUGUUCCUUUUUCUGUGUUGACC
rnacentral:misc_RNA from 1 species